UACGUAGGGUGCGAGCGUUGUCCGGAAUUACUGGGCGUAAAGAGCUCGUAGGUGGUUGUCGCGUUGUUCGUGAAACUCACAACUCAACUGUGGGCGUGCGGGCGAUACGGGCAGACUAGAGUACUGCAGGGGAGACUGGAAUCCUGGUGUAGCGGUGGAAUGCGCAGAGUAUCAGGAGGAACACCGGUGGCGAAGGCGGGUCUCUGGGCAGUAACUGACGCUGAGGAGCGAAAGCGUGGGGAGCGAACAGG
rnacentral:rRNA from 1 species